GUGUUUUGGGCUAUGCCUUGGAUAGUUUUUUCUUAACUACAGUGAGUUGUUUCAUCAGCUGAUGGAUGAUUCUAUUAUUUUUGCUCCUUGCUAAUCCCUCUUUGCUGAUGUCAAAAAUGGGGAGAAAGAAAUAUAUCUAUGCUUUACGCUAUUAUGUGCAGGUAGGUCGACUAUGAUAUACAUACAUAGAUUGUAUUAUAUAUAUACUAUACAGGUACAAGUCAAGUCAGCUAUGCUACACAUGCAUAGACGGUAUUCUAUAUAAACUGUACAGGUACAAGUCGACUGCACACUAUGAGGGGGAUAUCAAGUCAAGUCAAGUUUAUUGCACAUAUUGAGGGGGAGCAAAGUCGACUAGUAACACACAGGGAAGUCAACUGUUAUUUACUUCUUCACAUAUAAGUAUAUUAUUCUGCCAUCAUAAAAAAGGGGGAGAUUGUUAGAUCAUGUUUUAACGAUGCAAUUACUAUAUAUGUGCAGGAAUCAAAAGAAGUCAAGAAGAGCUACUGGAAUGGACUGUGUCAAACAAGGGAAGAGCUUACUUACAAAGGAAGCCGCCAGAAUAACUCGUGAUGUACAAGGAAAGCUAUAAAAUUGCAUCAGCAAAUCGGGAUUAGGUCCAUAAAAUUGGGAAAUCAAAUCACCAGUAUCAAUAAAUAACGGAGCGGGAAUAAUCAAGGGAACAAGGAGAUUAGUGAUUAGAGAAAUCACGGAAUAAUAAAAGAUGCCAGAAGAUCUAGGCAGUGACCGUGUUUGGAAGGUCCAACAAUCAAGAGAAAUCUCGUUAAAUCAAUCGUCUGCCAAAGUAAAAGAUAUCAAGAGAUUCAAUGACUAUCUCCUUAUUCAUGGAAAGAAUCAAUUCUUUCCAAGGAUCAAAACCCUUGAGUUGACAAGCCUUCACUGUACAUCAUAGAUAUAUUCCUCUUGUAAUAUCC
rnacentral:lncRNA from 1 species